ensembl:lncRNA
UGAUCUUCAUGGUCGUCGCCAACAUGUCCAUGAGCAUCAUCUUCUGGACCUUCUUGAUGUCGGAGGUCUUCUUCAAAGAGGCAGAGACGGAGGAAGUGUCUCCGGCGUAGAGUCUGUCAGCAUGUAGAUCUCACACAGCUUCAUAGAGAUUCUCCUCUGCAGCUACAGAGCGCUUUCCCCCACAUUUUAAAGUUUUCUGUCAGCCUUUUUUUCUUUUGUCCUGUUUGUUCUGUAACGGGGCUGUAAAAAGACCGUUUGGGAAUUGUGGAGUGCUUGUUCAGUUACAGACUGGGUCUUUGGCCCUAAAACUGAAGCUGGUGAUUCUGAGUGCGGCCGUGAAGAGGAGAGGGUUCGGAUGGAGGAAGAGCGAGCCGGUCUGCUGCCGGGAUUCAACAUCACCGAGCCCCAUCAUCAUCCCAGGA